AAGACUAUACUUCACAGGAUCAUUUCUGUAGUCAGUCUUCAUUUACUUUCAUUGCAAAUUGAAAGAAGCUAAAAUUAU